UUCCUCUUUCCUUGAACGCGUCUAUCCCACCUUUAAUCCCGCAUUCAUCCUCUCCGACACCGGCGUGCCCCUCUCCCCGCCGUUGGUAGCAGUUUAGCGGCGCGGCUCUUCCGGCAAGAUCCACUACACGGCAGCGCAACCUACUCCGGUGUGCAAAGUGGCGGCACGACCUCCUUUUGCGCAAUCUCUCUGACGCGUGCAAACUCCCCUUGGCAAUCUCUCUCUCUCUCGCGAAUCUGUCCUUCCGGCGACCUGCACUUAGAGCUAACGCAGCUUCCAACCUCGUCAGGCUGCGGCAGAACUUUGGAUCAGUAGAAUCUUAGUUCGUGAAAGGAUUAAGGUUCGAUGAUUUACACGGCCAUCGACACAUUUUAUCUAAGUGAUGAGCAGUUGAAGGACUCACCUUCGAGAAAGGAUGGGAUUGAUGAAGUCACUGAAACCACCCUGAGAAUCUACGGUUGUGAUCUCAUCCAGGAAGCUGGCAUAUUGCUUAAAUUGCCUCAGGCAGUCAUGGCUACUGGACAAGUUCUGUUCCAUCGAUUCUAUUGCAAGAAAUCAUUUGCCCGCUUCCAUGUCAAGAAAGUUGCUUCUAGUUGUGUGUGGCUUGCUUCAAAGUUGGAGGAAAACCCUAGGAAAGCCAGACAAGUAAUUAUUGUUUUUCACAGAAUGGAAUGUAGGAGAGAGAACUUAUCGAUAGAGUUCUUGGACCCUACUCUCAAGAAAUACGCAGACUUGAAGACGGAGCUGAGCAGAACUGAGAGGCAUAUAUUGAAAGAGAUGGGUUUCAUUUGUCAUGUUGAACAUCCGCAUAAAUUCAUAUCUAACUACCUUGCAACCCUUGGAACACCUCCAGAACUGAGGCAAGAAGCUUGGAAUCUAGCCAACGACAGUUUGCGUACAACCUUGUGCGUUCGAUUCAAGAGCGAGGUUGUGGCUUGUGGGGUUGUAUAUGCUGCUGCUCGUAGAUUCCAAGUACCCCUUCCUGAAAAUCCACCUUGGUGGAAGGCAUUUGAUGCAGACAAGUCGGGAAUUGAUGAAGUCUGUCGAGUUUUGGCACACUUGUAUACCCUUCCUAAGGCACAAUAUAUCCCAGUCUGCAAGGAUGGAGACUCAUUUACAUUUUCUAACAAGUCAUGGGAUUCACAAUCUCUUCCCGUGACCAAGGAAGUUCCACAAAGCAGCCCAACAGCCAACGAUGAUGCUGUAAAAGCCACCUCAGGAAAUAAUCAUGAAUCAGGUGGGUCCAAAGAUGAGUUGCUUAAAUUAGCCUUAAACAAGCUCAAGGAAUCUAAGAAGAGUGAUGACGAAUCCAAGAGCAUUCCGCUUGAAGCCACUACCAGGGAGGAAGUUUUGCCAAAAUCGAAAUCUGAUCGAAGGGCUGAGACUGGUGAAAGGAACAAGGAGAGAGAAAGGGACAGGGAUAGGGAAAGAGCGAGGGAGAGAGACAGAACCAAGUCUCGAGAUCGGGAUAGAGGUCGAGAUUCUGACAGGGAACGUGAGAGGGAGGAUGCAGACAGAGACAAAAUCAAGGAUCGAGCUCAUCGCUCAAAUGAUAGGAGCAAGGAAUUAGGAGGACACUUGGAAAAAUCGAGACGUCACUCAUCGCGAGAUCGGGAUUACCAUGGCUCAUCUUAUUCUUCACGUGAUAAAGAUCGCCAUAGGCAUCAUUGACGACAUGGAAUCAGAUCGAUCUUCUAUGGUGGGCGGCAUUGACAUGUUUAGAGUAGCCACUCUAUUCUUACUUCCUAACUCGCUGAUGCUUUCUAAAAUAUUUCGCCUCUUCGAAUGGUGGGGCGGGCUGGAGUCUGAAGAAGCAAGGUGCUUGGCCUAUAAUUGAUAGAUACUCUUGCAUCUACCUCUCCACUUUUCCUCAUUGAAAUUGAGUAGCUGUGCCAGAAUGUAACAAUGUGUUGGACCUCUUGACCAAACAGCGCUCUUCAUCUUCAAGCUGUUUGUCAAUUGCUCAUAUGUUGUUGAGCAUUUCAAGCACAUUGUCAAACCUUUUUCUGUUUUCUUGACCUUUAAUUCUUGAAAUGGUAUUAUUUCGUUGCGACCUUAAAUGUAUAUAUUUCUUCCCUAA